rnacentral:rRNA from 1 species
GACGAACGCUGGCGGCGUGCUUAACACAUGCAAGUCGUACGGUAAGGCCCUUUCGGGGGUACACGAGUGGCGCACGGGUGAGUAACACCUGAGUAACCUGCCCACAACUUUGGGAUAACGCUAGGAAACUGGUGCUAAUACUGGAUAUGUGCUCCUGCUGCAUGGUGGGGGUUGGAAAGCUCCGGCGGUUGUGGAUGGACUCGCGGCCUAUCAGCUUGUUGGUGGGGUAGUGGCCUACCAAGGCGGCGACGGGUAGCCGGCCUGAGAGGGUGACCGGCCACAUUGGGACUGAGAUACGGCCCAGACUCCUACGGGAGGCAGCAGUGGGGAAUAUUGCACAAUGGGCGCAAGCCUGAUGCAGCAACGCCGCGUGCGGGAUGACGGCCUUCGGGUUGUAAACCGCUUUCAGCAGGGACGAAGCUUUUUGUGACGGUACCUGCAGAAGAAGCACCGGCUAACUACGUG